UAAAGUGCUGUUACGCACUUGGGGCGUCACUGGGGUCCGCGUCGCUGCUACGCAGCGGCAGGCGCUGGGAGUGACCAAGCGCUCUGCUGGUUUGGUUCCUUGCGUCUCACUGUUGGAAGUGGGGGAUUAUUUGGGGAGGGCUCCUGGUUUUGUGUAUUUUUGAGAAGAACAUAGAUAGUCCUUUCCUGGAACGGGAGAGCGGCCCGGUCCUAGUGCCCGCUAAUACUAGGGGCUGUGGACGGACGGAGGUUGUGGCCCUACCUAAGCGUGACCUCGCUCCGCGAAGCCGCCCGCGGGGCGCUGAUGGCCGAACGCAUUCUGGGAAAGACUUUAGCCACGGUGUCUCUCUCUGUGGCCUUGGCCUCUGUGACUGUCAAGUCCUCGGGCUGUUGCAGCAUUCCGGCGUGCAGAAACUCAUUUUUAUCCUGUGGGUUUCAUCUUAACUCCAACAUCAUGUCUAGUUCUAAUGGUGCCAAAGAGAAUUCGCACAACAAGGCUCGAACAUCUCCGUAUCCUGGUUCAAAAGUCCAACGCAGCCAGGUUCCAAAUGAGAAAGUAGGAUGGUUUGUUGAGUGGCAAGACUAUAAUCCUGUGGAAUACACUGCUGUCUCUGUCUUGGCAGGACCCAGGUGGGCCGAUCCUCAGAUCAGUGAAAGUAACUUCUUUCCCAAGUUUAAUGAAAAGGAUGGGCAUGUUGAGAGAAAGAGCCAGAACGGUCUAUAUGAGAUUGAAAAUGGAAGACCCAGAAAUCCUGCAGGACGGACAGGACUGAUUGGCCGGGGGCUUUUGGGGCGAUGGGGCCCAAAUCAUGCUGCAGAUCCCAUCAUAACCAGGUGGAAAAGGGAUAGAAGUGGAAAUAAAAUUACCCACCCUGUUUCUGGGAAAAACAUCUUACAGUUUGUGGCAAUAAAAAGGAAAGACUGUGGAGAAUGGGCAAUCCCAGGGGGGAUGGUGGACCCAGGAGAGAAGAUUAGUGCUACACUGAAAAGAGAAUUUGGUGAGGAAGCUCUCAACUCCUUACAGAAAUCCAGUGCAGAAAAGAGAGAAUUAGAGGAACAGUUGCACAAACUCUUCAGCCAGGAACAUCUAGUGAUAUAUAAAGGAUAUGUCGAUGAUCCUCGAAACACUGAUAAUGCAUGGAUGGAGACAGAAGCUGUGAACUACCAUGAUGAAACAGACUGGCUGCUUGCUCAAGGAAUUGACCAGUGAAAGAAAGUGAAUCCCUUCGUAUUUGUAGAGCUGUCCAUCCCAGUGUGUAUGCAAGAAUAUAUGCCAAGCUGUGAGCAGUCCUAUGGAGAGGACCACAUGGUGAGGAAAUGGAGUCUUCCAACAGUAGCCAUGUGGGCGAGUUCAGAGGAGAUCCUAAGAUAGAACUGUCCAGAUAAACAACUCCUAGAUUCCUGAGCCUUGGAAACUGUGAACUUAUGAGAAGACAGAGGCAAAGAGUGUGUAAGGUAAAACACUAGAGAGUGCCCGGGUGCAAGUCCUGGUAGACGCCCCAGAAUCCCCCUGGAUAACCACUGUACUGUGGUGCAUUGUGAAGAUGGGAGGAGCCGGCAGGAACUCGGAAAAUGGAUUUAUUCUGGGCUGUGCAGUAUGUGCUUUGAAGUGAGGUUAUUUCUAUCUCUCUUCCUUUGCCUUCCCAGUAGUUCUCCCCCUGCACUCCAGAGUAAACUGGUCACUGUUUUAGUAGCUUUCUUGUUCAUUUUCUUAACACCUAUUCAUCGAAUCUCUAAAGAAAACAUUUAGCUACUCCAAUUGGUGUACAUAGUUGGUUGCAUAAUAGGAAGGAAACAAGCCAAGACUGGAGACUUCAUUUCUAAAGAAGGAUUUUAGAGCAGACUAAGAGUUAUUUCACAGAGUGGGUCAUGAAACUCAGUCUCUCUAUACCCUUUCAUCGCUAUGACGACAGGCUGCUCCUGCUACAUGUAGCCAGAAAAAGCAGCUGACAUUUCAAUGCUAGGAGCACAGGGGGAGAGGUUUACAAAAACAAAAAACAAAACCCAAACCCUUUCGUUUGAAUUUCAGUUAGAAAGGAAAAAAUACCCCUGGAGCAAGUCAAAACCCCUAUUCUUGCCUUUAGAAAAGAUAAGAAAGGAGAAAUGUUGGGGGCCUUCUCCCCUGUCCAACUAGGCCAAUAAAACAGAAUCAAGUGCAAAGCAGCAUUUCAUCUCACUCUCUUAAUGGCAAUCUGAAACAGAAAACUCCCUUUGGUUUCAUUGGACUUGGUCCUUAAGAAGAAACUAAUUGAUGAAGCAGUAAAGACUCACAGUAAUAAAUACUUCAUGUAGAGCAACCCCCCCCCCCAGGGGAGUACAGUAGAUUCAGAUUUAUUUUUCCAUUCCUUUGAAUAAAAAAAAAGACAAUUCAAAGAAUAUUCCCUUCUCAAUCCCCAAUUUUGUUAUCAGAAAAAUCAUUUCAAGUGUAUAACUGAAUACUUUCUCACGCUGUGCCACUCUGCCAGGUGCUACACUUGGUAUUUUAAAAACAUCUCAUUUAACUCCUACAACAACUGCAUUUGUGGGUAUUAUUAUCACUGCUUGCUUAAUAGAUGGGUAAACUAAGAAACCUUGAGGGAAAACCGAGAGUAAAUUCCUUUUUACAGAGUUCCAGUUGGGACACCUAGGUAGGGUGGUGUUUUCAUUAUUAGCUAUGAUUAACUGAUUGCUUCAUAUGCACCAGGCAUAGGGGUUUUCUUGACUUAAUUAUCAUAACAAAUCUCUGAAAUGGCAAAUAAUUUUAUGAUCCUCAUUUCCACAGAUGAGGGGACUGAGGCUCAAAGACUCAUUUGUCCAAAGUCACAGAGCCUGGUAAAGCCCAGGUAUAAGCCACGUCUGUGUGUUUCCAGAAUUCAUGAUCUUACUUUAUUACACCAUCUCCUACAAUUAUUAGAGACCGCACAUUCUGUCCCCCAGAGUUCUGUGUACCUUUUGAUGCCCAACACAAAAACCAGGCCCAGGUGGUAUUAUCAGUGCAAGCUCAGCCUUUGGCAGAUGCCCUGUGGGCCUUGUGUGAACCAGACCCCAGCUUAGCUGGCCAUCUCUUGGGCAGCCAGGUCUACUGGGGAAGUUCUCCUGGAUUUAUGGGGCCCCUUUCCCCUUCACUGAAGGCUGUUCCAGAAGGACAUGUAAAGGAAAAGGGCACCUGAAGUCUUUUAACAGCAGUUGUUUAUGUUUUUCUUGGUGGAAAAAGCAUAAACAAACAAAUAUUUGUAUACUGUUAUUAAAUGGAAUAAAAAUAAUAGUCAAGAGAAAAUGAAAUGAAUAGUGUUCUGGAGUUGUCUAGAGACAUCACUGUUCAUUUCAUUCUUGUCAUCACUAUUUAUUUUUAUGUAGUUGAUAAGUGAAGUUGCACAUGAGAAAGUACUGGGGAUCGAACCCCAAAAGACCUGGAGAAGAAACCUCAGGAAUUGCUAAAUAGGUGCACAGAAAUUCCAUAAAAGGAAAAAGGCAAGAUUCAUGAAUAACAUGUACGCAUUCUUUUUAAAAAUUUGGGAAGUAGCAUUAGUUGAUUGGAUGAUAAGUAGAUGAAACAGACUGAUUGCUCUUCUUUGCUAGAUCUGGUUGAAUGAAUAGAAAUAUAAACUUAAAUCUUUCCUAAGAGGCGUGUCCUUUUUUUAAACAGUCAUGGUUAACAAUAGUCACUACCACCAAAGUUUAGAUGAAUAAGCUCCGAACUCAAAAAAAGUUGGUAUCCAAGAGAGAGGGGAGAAUUUAUUAAAAAGAUUUUUGCUGAGUUGGAUCGAGUGAACAUUUCUAUUCAGUGCAGUCAGGCAGUGGGCCAGAGGAAAGCUCAGACACAAUGCCAAGGUGACAUAUUUAACCUCUUUGCAGAUUAAAGGCAGUGCAAAAGAGACAGUCUUUCCUCAGUACUGCUUGGUUAUAGUAUCAACAGUACCCAUCUACAGUUGAAAGGAUGGUUUUCUCCUGCAGGGGGACCUCUAAUACCUAGGAGGAAUGAGUGAGCAUGACGUACAUUAUUGUUUUAUUCUAGUAGAGCCAGAAUGAUAAUACCGUAUGAUAUAGGAUUUGCCAUAAUCUCCUCAGCUCUCUGGUUUCCCUACCUCCUUCCCUCCCCAAGUAGGACAUCAUCAGGAAUUAGAGAAAUUUUAUGUGUGUGCACCUUAAAAAACAAUGGAGGGAGACAAGAGACAGCUAGUCAUAAAAGUAUAAAAGGGAAUUAGGAAAGGAAUAAUAGUCAUAAUAACUAAAAAACAAUAAAAGAAGAUUAUAGUAGUGCAGCAAUUUUCCUGCCUUUUGGAAAAGCAAAAUGUUCCAUGUCUAUAUUGCUGGUAGGUACACACUGGGACAGUGGUGGUGAUGAAAUAAUUUCAGAUAAUUUAAACAUGGAAAACAUACAUGUUACUUUGAUUUGAAAGUUCUUUUUUUAAACUACUUCCCUUAUGAUUUACUUAAUAUACUCAGUAAAAUAUUUCUAUUAAACACAUUUCCAGAUUCAGACUUCACCAAGAUCUGAAUGCUAAUCUGGCCAACAACAGUUCUACAUUUGUGUUCUUGGUCUUCAUUAAAACCAUCAUUUAUUACUACUUACUACAUAAUCUUGAAGAAGAAAAGGAAACAUGAAUACAAGAGUUAAAAUUUCUUACUAAGUAGCUUUUCUGUAAAUCACACAAAUUUUUUUUUUUUUUGUAAAUAAAUGGCUUUGUCCUAGGAAAAAAAUACUAGACAUCUUCAUUGGAUCAUGCAGUGUAGUAUAACAAAUGCAAUUAGAUGAUACAGUAAACUUAUUAAAAUUUACCUUCAAGUAGGUGGCUGGACCCAGAGCCUCGAUACAAAAUUGCAGUUGAAUCCUCUCUUUGCACACAGCCAAGAAAUAAAAGUUUGACAAAUACCCAAUACACUU